rnacentral:rRNA from 1 species
UACGUAGGGUGCGAGCGUUGUCCGGAUUUAUUGGGCGUAAAGAGCUCGUAGGCGGCUCGUCGCGUCAGCUGUGAAAACCCGCAGCUUAACUGUGGGCUUGCAGCUGAUACGGGCGGGCUAGAGUUCGGUAGGGGAGACUGGAAUUCCUGGUGUAGCGGUGAAAUGCACAGAUAUCAGGAGGAAUACCGGUGGCGAAGGCGGGUCUCUGGGCCGAUACUGACGCUGAGGAGCGAAAGCGUGGGGAGCGAACAGG